UUUAUUAAGAUAUUCUCUCUAAUAAUCUAACAUAAAUAAUCUAUAAAUUACACUCACACACUGUUGUGCAAUUUUUCAGUUAAAGGAGUCGUGUUAUUAACCUUGCAAGCAAUCACAGUGUGUGCAAAAAACAAAAAAAACAAAAAAACAAAUUGCGACAGACACUUGAUGUAGCAUUAAAAAUAGUUCCAUGAUUACAUGUGUGUUGCUUUAAAUGAAAAGGAGUUGAGUUGGUCCCAAGCAUG